ACCAACCAGUGAACUUUCAGACGUCAGUGGCAAGCUAACAUGGAGCGAUGGCGCAACAAAGUGGCCGUGGUGAGCGGAGCCAGUGCCGGAAUCGGAGCAGCCUGCACCCGGGCAUUAAUCGGUGCCGGAAUGGUGGUCGUUGGUCUGGCGAGGCGUCACGAACGCGUCGAGUUGCUCCGAAAUGAUCUCAAUCCCGAGGAGAAGACCCGUCUACAUGCAAUCAAGUGCGACAUUACGCAGGAGGAUCAAGUACUGAAGGCCUUUGAGUGGACUCAGAAGCAGUUGGGCGGCGUAAAUGUCCUGGUCAGCAAUGCCGGUAUCAUAGCAACCGGAGAACUAAGUGAGAGGAACGACGGAGAAGCCAUGCGGUCCACCAUUGAGACAAACAUCAUGGGCACCGUCUACUGUGUUCGCGAGUCCUUCCAUUCGAUGAGGAAACGCGGUGCCGAGGGUCAUGUGGUCAUCGUGAACAGUGUGGCGGGUCAGCAGGUGCCCAACUUGGGCCCCCAACUGCCCUCGCUCAACAUUUAUCCGGCCACCAAGUUUGCACUUCGCGCCAUGAACGAGAUAUACCGCCAGGAGUUUCAGCGCCACAAAACUCCAGUGAGAGUUUCGACCGUCAGUCCCGGCAUAGUGGAUACGGACAUCUUGCCGGACCAGAUCCAGGACAUCAUCAAACAGCAUAUGCCUAUGCUGCGGAGUGCUGACGUCGCCGAUGCAGUUCUCUGGGCCAUCGGCACUCCACCAAAUGUUCAGGUGCAUAACAUAACAAUAAAGCCACAAGGAGAAAAGUUUUAAACUUUGUACUAGCAAGGUGCAAUUGGAAAAUACAUAAAUAGAAAUAUAUGUUAUAUUAUUAUUUAUAUUAGGGAAAGUAAUAAUACAGUCUUUACGUUAAUGAGUAGUUUGCGUGUUUAUAAGUGAAGCUUACAGUUACCCCACUUGUACGAUUCCUCCGUAAAGCGAUAUAAAACUUCUUUAAAAGAAAUUGAGAUAGAGUUAUAUCUUAGAGGGCAGCUAUGUAAAAAAAAGUAGUAGUAAAGAGCGGCGACCACUUGUUUUACGACUCGGUUUAAACAGAAAUUUUUAAUUUUAAUUUUAUUUAUAUUGCUGUUGCUUCAUAUGAGUCCCGUUUCUUAUAAUUUGCAUUUAAUCAGUUUUAAGUUGCCUUUGGAAAGAGCCUGUGGAAUUGCUGCGCAAUCCCAGUGCCGGCGAAUUCAUUCCCCAACCUUAGAUCUUAUCCCACUGCAAACACCCUUUUUCAAAGGACUCUCCACUUCGUGUUCGGAGUGGAAUUAAGAGAGCUUCGCUUCGUGUUUCCAAGUUGUGUUUCACUUUUCCAUUUUGUUUCAAAGCCGCUCUACAAUGUUGGCGCCUGCAUCCUGUCGUUUCAGUUGUGUGGAGCCAGUCUCUCUGUAAACAUCGUCCUUUGUUCGUUGUGGCCCCUUUUGUUGUUUUCUCAGGUCCUGCAUCCUUCUUCGCCAUCUGUUGUCGCGUGCAUCUGUUGAUUGUGUUCUUUCCAGAGUCAACGAAUAAAAUAAAUAAACUUGUUCCCUCUUCGAGUUCGAUAAUUACUUUUAUAUUAUGUUUUCUGAAAAGGAUUUAAUUUAAUUUAAUUAUUCUCCACUUAUUAGCAAAUGUUUUUAAUAUAGAUUUUACCAAAAAUAAGCGAAUGGAUGUAUUACACAAAGAUUUACCAUAAGAACAUGUAUUGCAAUUAUACGACUUUUCUUUAAAUAUCUACCAAAAACUAUCUCUACCUUACAUUUAUCCUUUUCUUCAGACCCUGAUCUGAGCCUCUAUCCUCAUCGGUGGGUCACCAUAAAAAAACUCAAUUUAAAUGCACAUAUUACAUUUCGCCCGAGCAGACUACGCGCUUAACAAUGACGGACUCCACUGGAGACCGCGUCACCUCAUUUGAUUUGGUAUGAAAAAUCUCCUUUUAUUAAUAUUCAUGAAAGCUGAAAACUUUUUCGGUUAUUUAUUUAAUGGGAACUGAAAUCCACUGAGUCCAGUGAGGAUGCUCAUGAUUCUGUGGUUAAAGAAGAGGGUUGAGCUGUGUGCAUAAAUUUAACUUAACACGUUUGUAUUUAUGUGUUUUUCGUUGUUUUUAAUAAAUAAUUUAGUGUACACAAAUUCAAAAACAAGUGUGAAAGCCAAUAAAUUAUGUAUUUUAAAAAGCUCCAUUUAUCUAAAACUAAGCUUAAAUAAACGUUUAGCAUCUAAUUUGGAGCUAAUAGCUUAAAUUUCGAAUAUAUUUUGCCAAUUUUCAAAUUAAUUAAGGUAAGUCCCGGCAUCGAUAAGCAAUUAAUGUGUGGAAAGCAGCCAGCCGCUAUGCAAAUGGUCAUAUGUUAAACGCCAGCCACCGAAAUGACAUCGAUGCGAUUUAUAAAUCACGGGUUGUGCGCUUCGGUCGUCGAUGGCAGUACAAGUACUAUUAAAAGCCAUUCCGAUGAACCUUAGUACUCGUAAAUCAUAAAGGAGCGCCUUCUCGGUACCUACCUCGUCCUUUCGCCUGCUUCAUUGUUUUGAAAUAUAUGUCCUGGAGAGACUCUCUGCAAUCGGUAUUGUCUUGGUUUGGUCCACUUCGGUCUUGAGUUGCUUCUGAUUGGAAACAUUCUAAAUAAAUUAAAAGGCGAAAUAGAGACAAAUUUUUCUU